UACAGAGGUCUCAAGCGUUGCUCGGAAUCACUGGGCGUAAAGCGCACGUAGGCGGAUUGUUAAGUCGGGGGUGAAAUCCUGGAGCUCAACUCCAGAACUGCCUUCGAUACUGGCGAUCUUGAGUCCGGGAGAGGUGAGUGGAACUCCGAGUGUAGAGGUGAGAUUCGUAGAUAUUCGGAAGAACACCAGUGGCGAAGGCGGCUCACUGGCCCGGUACUGACGCUGAGGUGCGAAAGCGUGGGGAGCAAACAGG
rnacentral:rRNA from 1 species